rnacentral:rRNA from 1 species
UACGUAGGGGGCGAGCGUUGUCCGGAUUUAUUGGGCGUAAAGAGCUCGUAGGCGGUUGGGUAAGUCGGGUGUGAAAACUCAGGGCUUAACCCUGAGCUUGCAGUGGGUACGGGCAGACUAGAGUGCGGUAGGGGAGACUGGAAUUCCUGGUGUAGCGGUGAAAUGCGCAGAUAUCGGGAAGAACACCCGUGGCGAAGGCGGUUCUCUGGGACGGUACUGACGCUGAGACGCGAAAGCGUGGGGAGCGAACAGG